UUAAAGGAUAAGAAACUUCACUCCAUUGGU
rnacentral:piRNA from 1 species